GUCAUCCCCAAGAGAGGCUCAGAAUGCCAGAAGGACCGUGGUGAUCCUGUGCAGGCCGGCUCGCCGGGCCCAGCCUCGGGCUCCUUGCCUGUAAGAUGGAGAGGCAUAGCCGCAGCCCCUGGGUACCGCCCACCGUCCACCGGUACCCCCUGCAGCACAGGGGGCGCUGCAGCAAUGAAGGCUGGGCCCACUCACACCAAUCCUUUAACACGCAUCGGUCUUGACUUCAAGCGUGAAGCAGAGCACAGAGACAGGCAGGUUUUUCUCCUCCUGGCAUCAGAGGCUGAGGAAGCUUAAAGCAACAGUUGCAGUGGAGAAAGCUGAGAACAACGGCUCCGUUGAGCUCCCCCUGGGGGCCUUUCUCCAAGCUGCACACCUCUCAGCCUCUGCUGCCCCCAUCCUGCUCUGUCCUGCCACCUGCCCAGCCCUCUUCAGAUGGAAGCUUGGUGGAACCCGAUGUCUGGCUUUGAGUUUGGUUGCCCUGCCCCCGCUCACUGGGCUUAUGGACCCCUCCUGGUUCUUCUCAUCUCUUGUCUGGUGCCCUGGCCAGAGAUCUAGGGCCCCAUGACCAGACUCAGAGCCCCCAGAACCCACUUGGGUGGAAAGUUCCUGCAGAUGGGGUGCCUGGGUGGCUCAGUCGGUUAAGCGUCUGCCUUCAGCUCAGGUCACGAUCCCAGGGUCCUGCAAGCGAGUUCCGCAUUGGGCUCCCUGCUCAGCGGGAAGCCUGCUUCUCCCUCUCCCUCUGCCUCUCCUCCAGCUGUGCUGUCGCUCUCGCUCAUGCUCUGUCUCUCAAAUAAAU
rnacentral:lncRNA from 1 species